rnacentral:rRNA from 1 species
UACGGGGGGAGCAAGCGUUGUUCGGAUUUACUGGGCGUAAAGGGCGCGUAGGCGGCCACCGCAAGUCGACUGUGAAAUCUCCGGGCUUAACCCGGAAAGGUCAGCCGAUACUGCGGGCUAGACGUGCAGAAGGGGCAACUGGAAUUCUCGGUGUAGCGGGUGAAAUGCGUAGAUAUCGAGAGGAACACCUGCGGCGAAGGCGGGUUGCUGGGCUGACACUGACGCUGAUGCGCGAAAGCUAGGGGAGCGAACGGG